rnacentral:rRNA from 1 species
UGGGAGACACUGAGUCAUUGAAUAAUGCAAGCAAUUGAGAGACUUGACAAUAUUCGUAGAUGACGAAAGUGCGAACGUCUUUUCUUCGGGAUGAGUCGUUGGUGGUGGUGCAGGCCGUCACAGUGAGGUCCUUAGAUCAUUUAAAGAUGAAGGAAACCGCGAAUGUACAGAUGUAUAGUCAGCCAACUCAAAAGAUGUGGGAAACCGCGAAUGUACAAGAACAAGAGCUGAGAACAAGCUGAACACUUGGGAAAAUGUUCAAAACGAUCUAAUAGGGGUCCCCUCACUGUGAUGGUGAGGGGCAGGGUUCGAUUCCGGAGAGGGAGCCUGAGAAACGGCUACCACAUCUAAGGAAGGCAGCAGGCGCGCAAAUUACACAAUCCCAGUACGGGGAUGUAGUGACGAAAAAUAACAAUACGGGACUCUAUUGAGGCCCCGUAAUUGGAAUGAGUACAAUUUAAAUCCUUUAACGAGGAUCUAUUGGAGGGCAAGUCUGGUGCCAGCAGCCGCGGUAAUUCCAGCUCCAAUAGCGUAUAUUA